rnacentral:rRNA from 1 species
GACGAACGCUGGCGGCGUGCCUAAUACAUGCAAGUAGAACGCACAGUUUAUACCGUAGCUUGCUACACCAUAGACUGUGAGUUGCGAACGGGUGAGUAACGCGUAGGUAACCUGCCUGGUGGCGGGGGAUAACUAUUGGAAACGAUAGCUAAUACCGCAUAAUAUUGAUUAUUGCAUGAUAAUUGAUUGAGAGAUGCUAUUGCAUCACUACCAGAUGGACCUGCGUUGUAUUAGCUAGUAGGUGAGGUAACGGCUCACCUAGGCGACGAUACAUAGCCGACCUGAGAGGGUGAUCGGCCACACUGGGACUGAGACACGGCCCAGACUCCUACGGGAGGCAGCAGUAGGGAAUCUUCGGCAAUGGACGAAAGUCUGACCGAGCAACGCCGCGUGAGUGAAGAAGGGUUUCGGAUCGUAAAGCUCUGUUGUAAGAGAAGAACGGGUGUGAGAGUGGAAAGUUCACACUGUGACGGUAUCUUACCAGAAAGGGACGGCUAACUACGUG